rnacentral:rRNA from 1 species
UACGUAGGGGGCAAGCGUUGUCCGGAUUUAUUGGGCGUAAAGAGCGUGUAGGCGGCUUUACAGGUCCGUUGUGAAAACUCGAGGCUCAACCUCGAGACGUCGAUGGAAACCAUCUGGCUAGAGUCCGGAAGAGGAGAGUGGAAUUCCUGGUGUAGCGGUGAAAUGCGCAGAUAUCAGGAAGAACACCAAUGGCGAAGGCAGCUCGCUAGGACGGUACUGACGCUGAGGCGCGAAAGCGUGGGGAGCAAACAGG